rnacentral:rRNA from 1 species
CAGUAGCCACGGUAAAACGAAGGGGGCUAGCGUUGUUCGGAAUCACUGGGCGUAAAGCGCACGUAGGCGGACUUUUAAGUCAGGGGUGAAAUCCCAAGGCUCAACCUUGGAACUGCCUUUGAUACUGGAAGUCUUGAGUUCGGGGGAGGUGAGUGGAACUGCGAGUGUAGAGGUGAAAUUCGUAGAUAUUCGCAAGAACACCAGUGGCGAAGGCGGCUCACUGGCCCGAUACUGACGCUGAGGUGCGAAAGCGUGGGGAGCAAACAGGAUUAGAUACCCCGGUAGUCCCUGUCUCUUAUAA